AACGAACGCUGGCGGCAUGCCUAACACAUGCAAGUCGAACGAGAUCUUCGGGUCUAGUGGCGCACGGGUGCAUAACGCGUGGGAAUCUGCCCUUUGGUUCGGAAUAACAGUUGGAAACGACUGCUAAUACCGGAUGAUGACGAAAGUCCAAGGAUUUAUCGCCAGAGGAUGAGCCCGCGUAGGAUUAGCUAGUUGGUGUGGUAAAGGCGCACCAAGGCGACGAUCCUUAGCUGGUCUGAGAGGAUGAUCAGCCACACUGGGACUGAGACACGGCCCAGACUCCUACGGGAGGCAGCAGUGGGGAAUAUUGGACAAUGGGCGAAAGCCUGAUCCAGCAAUGCCGCGUGAGUGAUGAAGGCCUUAGGGUUGUAAAGCUCUUUUACCCGGGAUGAUAAUGACAGUACCGGGAGAAUAAGCUCCGGCUAACUCCGUGCCAGCAGCCGCAGUAA
rnacentral:rRNA from 1 species